rnacentral:rRNA from 1 species
UACGGAGGGGGCUAGCGUUGUUCGGAAUUACUGGGCGUAAAGCGCAUGUAGGCGGAUCGUCUAGUCAGAGGUGAAAUCCCAGGGCUUAACCCUGGAACUGCCUUUGAUACUGGCGAUCUGGAGGUCGGAAGAGGCGAGUGGAAUGCCGAGUGUAGAAGUGAAAUUCGUAGAUAUUCGGCGGAACACCAGUGGCGAAGGCGACUCGCUGGUCCGAUACUGACGCUGAGAUGCGAAAGCAUGGGGAGCAAACAGG